AUUGAACGCUGGCGGCAUGCUUUACACAUGCAAGUCGAACGGUAACAGGCCGCAAGGUGCUGACGAGUGGCGAACGGGUGAGUAAUGCAUCGGAACGUGCCCAGUCGUGGGGGAUAACGCAGCGAAAGCUGCGCUAAUACCGCAUACGAUCUAUGGAUGAAAGCGGGGGACCGUAAGGCCUCGCGCGAUUGGAGCGGCCGAUGUCAGAUUAGGUAGUUGGUGGGGUAAAGGCUCACCAAGCCAACGAUCUGUAGCUGGUCUGAGAGGACGACCAGCCACACUGGGACUGAGACACGGCCCAGACUCCUACGGGAGGCAGCAGUGGGGAAUUUUGGACAAUGGGCGCAAGCCUGAUCCAGCAAUGCCGCGUGCAGGAAGAAGGCCUUCGGGUUGUAAACUGCUUUUGUACGGAACGAAGCGGUCCUGGUUAAUACCUGGGGCUAAUGACGGUACCGUAAGAAUAAGCACCGGCUAACUACGUGCCAGCCGCCGCCGCAGUAA
rnacentral:rRNA from 1 species